ACGGAGCCUCUCCUCUUUCAUUCAUCCGGAUACUAACCUGAGGACCAGAGCAGAGCAGCUGUUGUUCCCACUCCACGCCAAGAUGAAUAAGAUGUUUGUAGCUUACCUUGUUGCUCUUCUAGUCGCUCUCCAUCUCAUCUCAACACAGGUGGUGCAGGCCCAGGUCCCUGCCGUGAAUUCGACGACAAAGCCCAACACCACGAUGACAACCAAAGUCAGCGGCUGCGAGAGGACCGACGCCUUCACGCUGCUGCUCCCGCUGGCAGUAGCAGCCUCUCUCCUCAGUUGGUCCUAAUAACCGGACUGAUCGCUCUUCGCCCACUUGUCAAGACGGCUGGACUGGCCACGCAACGUUAUUCCAAGAGCCGUUCUUUUGAAGUCCUUUCUGUCACAGCACCUUUUAGACUACACCAAAUACUUCCCGUAGCCCAGAGCGCGUCUCCGUUUUACGCACCAGCCAGAGACGCGCCCUGCUGCUAUCUACGUUAUGUCCUGCUCUAUGCGACGAGUAUAUCAAAGUUCCCGUUGUCCGGUAAAACACCGGUCUCUGUUUCUUAAAUGGGUUGAAUAAUAUAUGUGUAGCAGGUAUAACGCGUAAGCCCACCACUUUUU